UGUCGUCAGCUCGUGUUGUGAAAUGUUGGGUUAAGUCCCGCAACGAGCGCAACCCUUAUCCUUUGUUGCCAGCGGUCCGGCCGGGAACUCAAAGGAGACUGCCAGUGAUAAACUGGAGGAAGGUGGGGAUGACGUCAAGUCAUCAUGGCCCUUACGACCAGGGCUACACACGUGCUACAAUGGCGCAUACAAAGAGAAGCGACCUCGCGAGAGCAAGCGGACCUCAUAAAGUGCGUCGUAGUCCGGACUGGAGUCUGCAACUCGACUCCAUGAAGUCGGAAUCGCUAGUAAUCGUGGAUCAGAAUGCCACGGUGAAUACGUUCCCGGGCCUUGUACACACCGCCCGUCACACCAUGGGAGUGGGUUGCAAAAGAAGUAGGUAGCUUAACCUUCGGGAGGGCGCUUACCACUUUGUGAUUCAUGACUGGGGUGAAGUCGUAACAAGGUAACCGUAGGGGAACCUGCGGUUGGA
rnacentral:rRNA from 10 species